ensembl:antisense 4930469G21Rik RIKEN cDNA 4930469G21 gene
AGGACUAUCUGAAAGGCUUUGACAGGAGUGCCUCUUUAGUGCUUGAGGCAUCUUUUGCUCUGUCUGACCAAUUUUUUAGCACAAGAUUUUCUUCUCAGUUAAGACAAAAAAAAAAAAAGAUGUCUACCCAAAGACUGUCUGUGCUUUCUCCCCUUCUGCUCUUCUGCUUCUUCAGAGAGACUUUCUCCAUUUGUGACGGGACAACGUGGACAAAGGUCGGAUGGGAGAUUUUUCCAGAGGAAGUGCACUACCUGAAAGUUAAGGCCCCCCCAUCCAGCUGCCUACCUUAUCCUCUGGACACACUCUGCUGCAAUUUUGCUAACAUGGACCUCUUACAGAGCGCCUUACACCUCACUUACAUCUUAGUACAAGCUCUCUGCUUAAUCCUGUUUGCUUUAUCUGUGCAUUACCUAUGGAUGAAAUGGACAAGACACCAAAAAAAGCUGAAAAAGCAAGCUUCCUUAGAGAAACACGCUAAUGGCCUAGACCUGAGCCCAUCCAUCCAUGACAUUGAACAAAUCCUCUGCAGACUACUGGCCACAACAUCAAUGAUGACCAAGUUCCUGAAGCACGUGUCUCACCACUCUUCUGUCAAGAAAGCUAAGCAACAGCGUAAAUUAAGGAAGAAGAAGAGUAAGGGAGAAGAGGAGCAGAAGAUCACUGCUAUCCCUAAGCUCGUGCAAAUGUAGCUUGGUCAAGUGCGGAGAGGACAAAAGCUCGUGCAAAUGUAGCUUGGUCAAGUGCGGAGUAUAAAAGAAAUCUAUUGCAGGGACUGUCUGAGGACACAAAGGUUUCUUUGGGGGCUUGCUUUUUUUUUUUUUUUUUUGCCACAAUCAUUACAGAAAAAUUCUCAGACGAGCUCUGGGUUUCCGCUCAACUGAAAACGAAUCCACUCUUUCUAACGUGGCUCCCAGAAUAAACUGAGAACACCUUAACUGGAACUUCAGGGUGUAAUCUAGUGGAAAGGAAACUAAAACUCAGAGAUGCUAAGAAACUUGGCUCAAGGAACCAGUAAUGAUGGAUGCAAGAUACCAACCAACAUGGGCAGCCUGACUCCUGAGCCCCUCCACAUCUGCUAAGUAUGACAGCAAGCUGCACUUUGGAACAAUCAGUCUAUGAUUUAAAAGAAUUUUCAUCAAACUCUAAUUACCAGCCCUUUAUUGUUAACACAGUUUUCAAAAUC